AAAUCACGCAGCUGAGCACAUACCGAACUAUUCUUUCGCCUUUUACUAAAGAAUACCGUGUGCUCGUCGCAAAACAAAAGCAUACGCUACUUUUUUGAGGGUGUUCUUAUUAUAAGAACC